CAAAGAACAGAAGAAGACUUGAGAUCUGAGCACCAGUGGACAGCGAAGACUAUGGAAGAGAAGAUGUGAUGGCUUUGUGUGGAAAGCUGCUGAAGCCAGCCUGUGUCCCUCUCAUCAGUCUCUCCAGGCAGCACCCAGCUAUUCUUCCAUCUUGCAGAUGAAAAGACUUUGAUAUCACCUGGACACAGCAGGAACCUACGCCAGGAUCCUGUUUGUGGACUUCAGCUCUGCCUUCAACACAACCCUCUGGCUGGAGGCUGCGCUCCAUCAGGACCAACACCUCUCUCCAUCAGGACCAGAACCUCUCUCCAUCAGGACCAACACCUCUCUCCAUCAGGACCAGAACCUCUCUCCAUCAGGACCAGAACCUCUCUCCAUCAGGACCAACACCUCUCUCCAUCAGGACCAGAACCUCUCUCCAUCAGGACCAGAACCUCUCUCCAUCAGGACCAACACCUCUC